rnacentral:lncRNA from 1 species
UGUACUAGUCUAUCCGAAUCAAUCACCAUCCCCAUGAUGAUCCUAUGAUCAGGAGCAAUUUAAAAAUUAAGCAUCAAUGACAUAUACCUCAAAUUCUUAACUCUUUGAGAAUAUGUGUCAUCAUCUUGUUAAUCUCUUGGAUGAUUCAUGGACAUAUAAACAUGAAUGAUAAUAUAACUGCCCAAUAAAUACAAAAUUAUGUCUUAAAGAUAUGAAAUGUAUCAGCCAAGAUUGGUUUCUAGGGCAUACAUCCAACAAUCUCCCACUUGCACUAAAGCCAAUCUGCCAUGUACCAUGCCCCAUCUUCAUAAGACAGGCUAUAGUUUUAGGCUAGCUAAGUGACUUAUCAGUGGGUCAUCCACAUCACAUGUGAAGUUUGCUCUCUGCACCUCUAUGUAUUUCUACUUAAGGUAGUCACGUGUUCUGCUAUUCUAUGUGCUUAGAUAUCUGGUGAUACCUAGGCUCCUUAGCAAAAGCUAUGGUGCCAUUAUCUUUGCAGUAUAAUGUCACGGCAUCUGAUGGCAUGACAAUCAAUUCUGCAACUAAUAUUAAAAUCAGAAUAUAUCCUACACAUCUAUAGUGUAUUCAGCUUCCAUCGAUCGAUUAUUUGGAAUCCUUCCAAAAAUAUUGACAUAGGAACACACCUAUGAUGUAGACAUUCUACGAUCAAUAUCAGAUAUAAAAUCUGAAUUGGUGUAUCCUCCCACUUCUAGCUUUGAUCCUUCUCCAAAUUAAGAACAUAUCCUUAGUUCUUCUCAAGAGCUUAAAGUUAUUUUCAUAGCAAUCUAGCACUCACAGCCUGGAUUCAACUGAUAUCCACUCGUGACAUUCACGGUAUUAUUUAUAUCAGUUCAAGUAUAUUAUGGCAUACGACUAUGUUCGAGAGGGUAGCAGAUCUCUCUCUGAGAUUUUUAUACUGAAAUCUUUCAGCAUCCAGUCUCUGUACUUUAUCUGUGAAAAUACAAGCAUCUAAUUGCAUCUAUUACUAUAGAUCUUUAGGACACUCGAUUUAUAUCUUUUAUGAAAAAAUCUAUAUUCAACCAUAUUUUAACCACUAUCAGUAUUGGAUACCCCCAAUGACCCUUUUGAAAAUCAUAAUUCCUCUUUUCUGAUCAAACAACUUGAUCAUGUCAUCAAAUGACUUAUUCCAAUUCUAAGAUUAUUAUUGACUUUGUGAUCACCUAUCACAAGAAGUGAAAUCUAUAGGCUAUUCUAUAUAAAAAUCUUCAAAAGAUCUCUACUCAAAAAAGCUAUUUCACAUCCUUUCUUGAAGUCGAUGUCUCACAUCACCUCAUUGUAGGUUCUGAAAUCAUCUCUAUGCUCCCAUCUCCCAUGAGAAACGACUUUCUCUAUAUCCUCUGUCAAGCAUACCCGAGUACCUUUCGAGAGGAUUGAAGAUCCUACUAUGUGUACGAGGCGGAGGAGGAAUAUCCAUCUACUGGCUUAUAAUGAAUAAGUUCUUAAAGUCCCAAAGCUCGCUGCUCUUCAAAGACACUCUUUUUGAGCUUAACUUUCCUUCCACUGCUUUAUCUUGGUUAAAUAAUUUUUCAAGAAGAUAGCAUGUCGGGUCACAAUCAUAUUGUAAUCUUUUCAGAAAGUAGUAUCCCAAACUCUUUUAGGAUGAGCUUUAUAGACCUAUUCUCUAACAUAUCUACCUGCUGUCCUAGACAUAGGCUGGAUAUCUUUGAAUCUCAAAAUAAUCAAUAUUCAGUUCUCACCAUAUGUCAUAUCUCAUAUGGUGUGGUAAGAACAGGUUUAGAGAGAACCUAAUUUCAUAGAAAUAAAGCAUGUCCCUAAAGAAAUAUAAAUCAAUGAAGUCCAUUAUGGACCAGACC